UACAGAGGGUGCUAGCGUUGUUCGGAAUCAUUGGGCGUAAAGGGCGUGUAGGCGGUUUGUUAAGUCAUGUGUGAAAUCCCUCGGCUUAACCGGGGAACUGCGUCUGAUACUGGAUGGCUUGAGUUCGGGAGAGGGAUGCGGAAUUCCAGGUGUAGCGGUGAAAUGCGUAGAUAUCUGGAGGAACACCGGUGGCGAAGGCGGCAUCCUGGACCGACACUGACGCUGAGGAGCGAAAGCCAGGGGAGCAAACGGG
rnacentral:rRNA from 1 species